AACGCACAUUGCGCCCCUUGGUAUUCCGGGGGGCAUGCCUGUUCGAGCGUCAUUACAACCCUCAAGCCUGGCUUGGUAUUGGGCUUCGCCACUAACCUGGCGGGCCUUAAAAAUCAGUGGCGGUGCCUCCAAGGCCCUGAGCGCAGUAAAUAUCCUCGCUAUAGGGACCCGGUGGUUACUGGCCAGCAAACCCAACUUUCUAAGUUUGACCUCGGAUCAGGUAGGGAUUACCCGCUGAACUUAA
rnacentral:misc_RNA from 1 species